GUUUUUUCUGUCCUCUCUGGCCAUCAGACCUUACUUUUAUUCUAAGAUCCUGACAUCAGUAUUGUAGCGACCUCAGUGUCCAGACCUGUUGGGGACAUGCAUCUCAGGUGGCUGAGGACUGCCUGAUAUGGUGAGAAUACCUGGAUAAGUUGCUUAUGAAGCAGCUCUGUGAGCAGGAGGUAAGGAGGUUCACGGACAUAGCAAUUAAAACAUAUCUCCAAACUGCUACAGCCCUUUGGACCAGAUGCUUGGUCACUGGCGAGUCUCGGAUUUGGACCAUCGGCUCUUUUCACAAAGAGUCGGGGAAAAGUGUGGCAUGAGGGUUGCCACUGACCCACAUGGUGAGGUGGAUCCAGGUGGAGUGCAUGACGUUACAAAGAGACAAGGCAGCUGAGAGACUGUGGCACAGCUGAAGACCUAAGCAGCAUGGCAGAAACAGUUUUGAAGAAGACAAACAGUCCUUUUAAGGCCACUCACUGGUAAUCAGUGUAAAGAGGGUAUUCCUCCAUCUCUUGUAUAGUAUUACUGAGCAUUCUCCAAGGCAUCAAUGUCUGCAAUCAGUGUGUUAACACUGUGUGUGUGUGUGUGUGAGAGAGAGAGAGGGAGAGAAUAAAUUUUAAUUUCUCUGUUUAUAA